UGAAGAUGUGCUAUAAGUAUUGCCUUCUUAUUUUUAUGUCCGAGUUUGGAAAUCAAUAUGGCAAUAUGCAAUAUUUGAAAACUUUAUGUUUUGUAAAUUCUAAUACUGUAGCCUUAAUUCUAUUGUGUUUUGUCGUUAUUUUGAAAACUGAGUUUACGUUAUCAUUACAUUUGUUUUCAAGUUGAACUGUAUAUUAUCCAAAAUUGUAAAAUUCGAAAUGGAGGUUAUUUUCGAUAACACAAAACAACAUCCUUCUUGUCCACAUGGUCCAUGCCUUAUGUUUGAAAGAUAUAAUACAGCUGGGAUAAAAACAGGCAAAAAAUUUUUUGCAUGUUCAGCAUACAGACACAGAUCACUAUGUGACUUUUUCCAAUGGGUGGAAGAUAAGCCUUCUGCUGAAAUUGAAAAGUUUCGAAGAGAUAAAAUUGAAAAGAAAAAACCACCUUUUGCCCAUAAAGAAUAUAUAAAGAGACUGAAAGUUUUUAAUAAUCUUCCACUGACCGAAAGAAGAUAUUGCAAAACCUGUUCUCUCUUAAUUUUACCUGAGGAAAGCCAUGUAAAGCAUGAAAUAAUCGAUGUUAUCAAAGAAGAAUGCUUGCAGCCAACUAUUUUAUUGAAUACAUUACAAAAUAAAAAAGCAGAAGCACAGUACUUUUUCUCAGAGAAAACUGUUACCUUCAUUGUAACCUUAUUAAAGGACCUUGGUUUUACAAAACUAGUUUUAAUUGGAACUCCAAAGGUUCAUGAAUUUUUGGCAAAGAAGAGUUCUGAUAUUCCAGGCCUUUCUUCUUUUCUGAUGGAUGUUGAUUACCGAUAUAUGCAAUUUUAUGACCAAAAGCAGUUUGCUCACUAUAAUCUCUUUAACAAUCAUUUUUUUGGUGGUGAAUCCUCCAAAAAGAAAUUUUUUAAAUUUUUAACUGAGGGAAGUGAAGAAAAGACUGUUAUUUUAUUAGACCCACCUUUUGGUGGAUUAAUAGAUGCUAUAUCUCAUACUUUGAAAAAAAUGAAUAAGCUGUGGCAAGAAAUUAACCAGAAAACAACUGAAGAAAUGGUUCCACUGCUUUGGUUUUUUCCUUAUUUCUUUGAAGAAAGGAUUUUACAGAACAUACCUGAGUUGAUUAUGAUGGAUUAUAAGGUAGAAUAUGAAAAUCAUAAAAAGUAUGGUAUGAAUCUAACUUCCAAAGGCUCACCAGUUCGAAUAUUCACAAAUAUAAAACCAUCAUCAUUUAUUUUGCCAGAAAAUGAAGGAUAUAGGUUUUGUGAUAAAUGCCAAAGAUAUGUAUCUAAAGAAAAUCUGCAUUGUUUGAAGUGUGGUAAAUGUCCAACUAAAAUGUAGAUGGCAGUUGCUCUGUAAUGUUAGGUCCAAAAUCAUUUAUGUUUUUACUGAUGGAGCAAUCAUUUCAUCAUCAUCAAAGCACACUUCAUCAGUUACCUUGUCCACAUCAGCCGUAUGGUCCAACUUACAAGCAUUGUAAUUUGUGCUGUAGAUGUGUGAAAAGUACACAUAAUCACUGUGAUCUGUGUAACCAAUGCAGUCUUUUUUGCACAUGUCCUGAAAUUUCAAGCUGUCAUUGCAAAUGCAGAC
rnacentral:misc_RNA from 1 species